AGUGAACGCUGGCGGUAGGCCUAACACAUGCAAGUCGAACGGCAGCACAGUAAGAGCUUGCUCUUACGGGUGGCGAGUGGCGGACGGGUGAGGAAUACAUCGGAAUCUACUUUUUCGUGGGGGAUAGCGUAGGGAAACUUACGCUAAUACCGCAUACGACCUACGGGUGGAAGCAGGGGAUCUUCGGACCUUGCGCGAUUGAAUGAGCCGAUGUCGGAUUAGCUAGUUGGCGGGGUAAAGGCCCACCAAGGCGACGAUCCGUAGCUGGUCUGAGAGGAUGAUCAGCCACACUGGAACUGAGACACGGUCCAGACUCCUACGGGAGGCAGCAGUGGGGAAUAUUGGACAAUGGGCGCAAGCCUGAUCCAGCCAUACCGCGUGGGUGAAGAAGGCCUUCGGGUUGUAAAGCCCUUUUGUUGGGAAAGAAAAGCAGCAGGUUAAUACCCCGCUGUUCUGACGGUACCCAAAGAAGAAGCACCGGCUAACUUCGU
rnacentral:rRNA from 1 species